rnacentral:rRNA from 1 species
CCUACGGGAGGCAGCAGUGGGGAAUAUUGCGCAAUGGGCGAAAGCCUGACGCAGCGACGCCGCGUGAGGGAUGAAGGUCUUCGGAUCGUAAACCUCUGUCAGCAGGGAAGAACGGUACCUGUGAUCAUCAGCAGUGAAUUGACGGUACCUGCAAAGGAAGCACCGGCUAACGCCGUGCAAGCAGCCGCGGUAAACCGGGGGGUGCAGGCGUUAAUGGGAAUUAUUGGGCGGAAAGAGCUCGUAGGCGGUAUGUCAAGGCAAGGGUGAAAUCCCCGCGCUCAACGUGGGAACUGCCUUUGAAACAGGGAAACUGGAGUGUGUGAGAGGAUAGUGGAAUUCCAGGUGUAGGAGUGAAAUCCGGAGAUAUCUGGAGGAACAUCAGUGGCGAAGGCGACUAUCUGGCACAUAACUGACGCUGAGGAGCGAAAGCGUGGGUAGCAAACAGGAUUAGAUACCCUAGUAGGC